UCGUUUACCGUGAAAAAAUUAGAGUGUUCAAAGCAGGCAGAUUCAAUUUUCUGCCACCGAAUACAUUAGCAUGGGAUAAUGGAAUAGGACCCUGUCCUCCUAUUUUCAGUUGGUUUUGGCAGCGCGAGGACUAGGGUAAUGAUUAAUAGGGAUAGUUGGGGGCAUUAAUAUUUAAUUGUCAGAGGUGAAAUUCUUGGAUUUAUGAAAGAUUAACUUCUGCGAAAGCAUCUGCCAAGGAUGUUUUCAUUAAUCAAGAACGAAAGUUAGGGGAUCGAAGACGAUCAGAUACCGUCGUAGUCUUAACCAUAAACGAUGCCGACCAGCGAUUAGGAGACGUUGAAUACAAAACACCACCAUCGGCGCGGUCGUCCUUGGCGUUCGUGUUCACGCACGGGCGCGAGGGCGGCUUAGCCCGGUGGCACCGGUGAAUGACUCCCUAGCAGCU
rnacentral:rRNA from 1 species